ensembl:lncRNA
CCUCCUGCAGCUGCUGCUGGAAUAGUGAAAGUGUUGGUUUGAACCUCAGAAGGAAACAGACUCAUAAGCUACCCAUAUAAAUGUAAUCUAUAAAACAAUGGUUUUCACCCAUGAUCCUUUAAAAUAUAUAUUUUUAAGCUCUAACUCUUGAGAUUCUGAUUCUCCAGGCAGGGCCCCACUUUGUAGAUUUUUAGCACACUCUGGAGGAUUCUAUGGUGGGACCAGAACAAGGACCCCAAUUUUCUAGCUCUUGACUGGAGCCUCCCCAUACCCUGCAUGAUCCCUAGACCAUGGUCCCGGCCGGAUGGGGAUCCCACAACCCCCGGGGCUGCAACCGCUUGCCUGUGGCAGCAGGGGCUUGGCCCUCUCCACCUUUCUUUCUAGCUCCUUUAUGUUGAGCUGGAUCUCAGACUUUUGAGUCUCUUGAAGUCGAACUUUUUCUUCUAAUUUGAUAUUUUUCUCCUUCAGCUCCUCAUCGAUUAUGCUAUGGCCAGAGACAGUAGAGAAAGGAAUGAACGAAGAACAGAAAGGAACGCUUUGGUGACCAACCCUCUGCUUUCACCCCACAACCACAGAACCGUGGCAUUGGAUGGGACCCCAGGAAUUAAAAGUCCCAGGUGGCAGGCCAGAGAGAAGAUAUGAGUUGCCUGAGGCUACCCCAAAGAGGAAGACAGAGCUCUUACCAGGGGGAGGCAGAGAUGGCACAGCAAGGGACAUGCCCCCAGAAUGGCACCACUGCCCCAGGACAGGCCCACCCAUGGGACCAGCAGAUGGAGAGGAUUCAAACCCAGAAUUCUUAACCAGUGCCUGGGAGAUCUUCCACAAUCUUAACAAUUACCCUCCACCACCCCUUGGGCCCUCUGUCCCCAGGAGCCUGGCCAGCCAAGACUCACAUCCUCAGACUCAAAGGAAACUGAUGUUUCAGAAAGAUACCCUGUAUUUAUCCUGUGGCACUCAAAGUACCCCAGGUGGAGAUGAGAUGAGGAAUAUUCAAGCUGUCAAGUUCAGUUUCCCAAGAUCUGUUCCACAGAAGAUAAGCAGAUCUCACUCCAGAAACCACUGACUGAGGGGCACUCUGGUCCCAGAACAAUGCAGAAUUCAAAUCUGAGGUGGGGAACUCAGAAACAAUGUUCGAGUCUCUCUGGAGAGUAGAAGCCUGGGAGAAAACCAAACCCAACCCGUUCUCCCAUUGCCACCCAGGGACACUGUCAAUGUGUUGAGCUCAUGGGGGAGGUGUCGGCUUUUCACACUGUCAGUGUCUGUGUUAAGGAAGUAAGGCAGCCUGAAACCUGUCUCUCCUAGGUCCCACAGUCCCCAAUCCCCUUCCAGCUGGAAACCUGUGCUAUAACCAGAGGAACCAGAAAUGGGCAAGAACACUCAGGGGACUGGGUCCUAAGACCAAAGACCAGUCUCGUGGCAGUAAUGACAGUUCCUAGAGGGACUGUGACAUCACUACAUUCCACUCCUCAGUGGAGUGGUGGGGAGGACACGUGAGUGCAAUGUCCAAGUUGCCGCUUUGAGAUUGGGGAGGGGGAGUCACAGGAUUGGGACCCAGGUCCUUGGAGAUGCAAGCCCAAAGAGCCCAGGGAGGUCAGGCUUUGGGUGGCGAGAGGUGAGGGCCGAGUAUGGAGCAGGAAGCCCCAGGAGUCACCUGUCCAAAGUGACCAUGGGGCAACUGGUGGGGGCAGGUUCUGGGGCACCCAGGUCCUUGGAGACGUGAGCCCAAAGAGCCCAAGGAGGUCGGGUUUGGGGUAGCAGGAGGUAAGGGCAGAGUAUGGAGUGGGAAGCCCUGGGAGUCACCAGCUCAAAGUCACCCUGGGGUGACUGGUGAGGGCAGGGGCAGGACUCACAAGGGGGUUGGGCUGGCUCACAAGAUUUGGGUGUGGGGAGCCCAGAGGCACUGGGUGGGGGUGGUCCCAGCCUGAUGUGCCUCAGCAGUGGCACAGACUCUGGCAGCAGCUUGACUGUCAGAGGGCACCUGGGGCUGGGUUGGGGUGCCGCAACCUGGUGCAUUUUACCUUUUCCUUGGCCUUGGCCAAUUUGAUCAGUGGGGUUUCUUCGGA